rnacentral:misc_RNA from 1 species
GAUGAAGAACGUAGCGAAAUGCGAUAACUAGUGUGAAUUGCAGAAUUCCGUGAAUCAUCGAGUCUUUGAACGCACAUUGCGCCCCCUGGUAUUCCGGGGGGCAUGCCUGUCCGAGCGUCAUUGCUGCCCAUCAAGCACGGCUUGUGUGUUGGGUCGUCGUCCCCCCCUCCGGGGGGGGACGGGCCCUAAAGGCAGCGGCGGCACCGCGUCCGAUCCUCGAGCGUAUGGGGCUUUGUCACCCGCUCUGUAGGCCCGGCCGGCGCUUGCCGAACGCAAAACAACCAUUCUUUCCAGGUUGACCUCGGAUCAGGUAGGGAUACCCGCUGAACUUAAGCAUAUCAAUAAGCGGAGGA